UCAUCCUACGGGGGGCAGCAGUAGGGAAUAUUGCUCAAUGGGGGAAACCCUGAUGCAGCGACGCCGCGUGGGUGAAGGAGUGCUUCGGCAUGUAAAGCCCUAUCGGCAGGGAAGAAGCAAGACGGUACCUGACUAAGAAGCCCCGGCUAACUACGUGCCAGCAGCCGCGGUAAUACGUAGGGGGCGAGCGUUAUCCGGAUUCACUGGGUGUAAAGGGAGCGUAGACGGCCAUGCAAGCCAGGGGGGAAAGCCCGGGGCCCAACCCCGGGACUGCCCUUGGAACUGCAUGGCUGGAG
rnacentral:rRNA from 1 species